GUCCUUUUGAGUUUAAUUUAAGGUCUGAUCUGCCCACUGAAAUUUAUUUUAAAUGGCCGCAGUAAUUUGACUGUGCAAAGGUAGCAUAAUAAUUAGUUUUUUAAUUAAAAGCUUGUAUGAAAGGUUGGACGAGGUAAAAUCUGUCUCUAUUUAAAUUAAAUUAGAAUUUAACUUUUAAGUCAAAAGGCUUAAAUUUAUAUAAAAGACGAGAAGACCCUAUAGAUCUUUAUAAUUUAAAUUUUAUUAUUAAUUAUGUAUUUUUGAUAUUUUAUAGUUUAAAUUAUUUUAUUGGGGUAAUAGGGAGAUUAAAAUAAUUCUUUUUUAUUAUUUACAUUAAUUUAUGGUUAUUGUUGGUCCAAUUUUAUUGAUUAUAAGAUUAAGUUACCUUAGGGAUAACAGCGUAAUUUUUUUAGAGAGUUCAUAUCGAUAAAAAAGUUUGCGACCUCGAUGUUGGAUUAAAAAUUAUUUUAGGUGUAGAAGCUUGAAAAUUUGGUCUGUUCGACCAUUAAAUUUUUACAUGAUCUGAGUUCAGACCGGCGUAAGCCAGGUCGGUUUCUAUCUUUAUUUAACUAAAAUAUUUUAGUACGAAAGGACCGAGUAUUUAAUAUAUUAAUAUUUGUUUUAUGAAUUUUAUUAAA
rnacentral:rRNA from 1 species